rnacentral:rRNA from 1 species
CUUUUACUGAACCUCAAUAUUAAGGCACGCCUGCCCAGUGAAUAUUUAACGGCCGCGGUACCCUAACCGUGCAAAGGUAGCAUAAUCAUUUGUCUAUUAAUUGUAGACCGGCAUGAACGGCAAAAUGAGGGUCUAACUGUCUCUUAUAGUAAAUCAAUUAAACUGAUCUCCUAGUAAAAAAGCUAGGAUAAUAACAUAAGACCAGAAGACCCUGUGAAGCUUAAACUAAACCAUUAAAUCAAAUAAUGAUUACUUUCGGUUGGGGCGACCCUGGAAAAAAAAAGAACUUCCAAUCUGUGUACCUACACAAUAGGCCCACAAGCCACACACUUGACCCAGCACAGCUGAUAAUCGAACCAAGUUACUCCAGGGAUAACAGCGCCAUCUUCUUCAAGAGCCCAUAUCAAAAAGAAGGUUUACGACCUCGAUGUUGGAUCAGGACAUCCUAAUGGUGUAGCCGCUAUCAAGGGUUCGUUUGUUCAACGAUUAACAGUCCUACGUGAUCUGAGUUCAGACCGGAGA